AAUUCUUGGACCCUAUCAGUAUCUUGCCCCAAAAAAUACAAUAAGAUCCAUUUCACUAUCUCAAAACUCAAUGUCAAUAAUUUCAAAGAUACCUACCAUCACUGCAUGUGAUUUUAAUAUGAAGCUGCAAUUAAGUACAGAUUUUCAACUCCCUAUGUAAAUUAUCAUCCUCGCACUAAUAAGGUACUGAAGUCAAUGUUGUCUUCUUAUGGUUUUUACGAUGUCUAAGGAGAUCAAUUUGAGACAAAUAUCCUCGUGCAUUUACUUAUUCUUAAUCAAGAGAAUUUUUGGCCAUCAGAAAGGCUUUAUGAAAAACAGGAAGAUUUCAGAUAAAUCACGCAACAUUCAAUGUACGAUAGAAUCGUUGGGUUCGAAUAAUAUGUUCGGUGCUAUUCUUGCAACUGAUUUCAGUAAGACGUUUGAUUCUAUUUAUCAUCCACAAAUCCUUCAUUCUGUCAAACAAUUACUGCCAACUCGUUUUUUUAACCCAGUGAGGGCACUGUGAUUAAAUAGGACCUCUACAAUCACCUUGGAUGGUCUUGAAUGUGCUCCCCCUCUCACGGCGAAAAAUGUAAGGAAUCUCCGACUAAUAUAUUACAUGCAGAAGAAAUAUUUCAUACAUUCAUUGAUCUAUUAUAUCUUUUCUCUCAGUCAACUCAUUCAUCUCAUGAAAUCUGGAGAUAUAACAUUGGAGUACAUUUGCUGCUAUAAAUUACAACAAGAUCACCUGGAACACCUUUUUGCUGCAAUUAGGCAGAUAAAUGGUUGGUGCUCAACAAUUUCGUUUUGCAUUCAGAAAGAUUUUAUGCCAGGCUGGAAAGGUGAUAAUACAUAAUAUAAACAUCAACUGUGUACAUCAAGAUGAUACCUUGUUAUUGUUAAUUUUCUAAUUUAUAACAAACACCACCAAAUAGUUUUUCUUAUGAACAAAAAGACGUUAAUGAAACACAUUUUGUGAAGAUGAAGAGGAAGAUAAAGUUAGCAAGUCACUUCAUCUUAAAGGAUGUUUAUUGUGUGACAGUAGAUUUUGUGUCGCCACAAUUUUAUAUAUUGCAGGGUAUUGUGUCUUCAUACUACAAAAAAAUAUGGAAUGUGGAAUUUGUAAGGCUCCAAUGUUUAACAGUGAGAAUGAUUCUUGCACUAAUUCAAAUUUAAUAUCGUAUAAGGAUUAUUGCCCAGACAAUCCAAAGAAAGGCCGAAUAGUACCGUCUGGCUCGAUGUGCCAUCUUUUCUUCCUUUACGUGAGGAUAUUUAGGACAUACAAUGGCUCACUUUCUAGCAUUGAUGUCCACAAAAAACUCAUAAUUCAAUUCCUAACGAAUAUCGAUAUGAAUAAAAUAUUCGGAAAAUUAUCGACACAUGCCCAGCAAACUUCAAAAGUUUCAGGGAACACUGAAUUGAAUAUGGAAGGCACGCCUUUCGAUGCGUGCAAUUAUUUAUAUCAGAGUUGAAAACAAAUAAUUUACUCAAUGAAAAGUAACUAAUUACAUCUUAGACAUCAUAUUCCUAUAUAAAAUUGCCCAAAAUAAUUUUUCAAAUAAAAAAAUUAUUUAUUUCAUUAUGAAGGACUUCAUUUAUUUUAUAUAAAUGUCUCAUUAUACAUACAUAUAUGUAGAAGGCGGAACAUGGAGCCAAUCCACAAUUCAAUAGAAAUUCAGCACAUUUUUUUUCUCUUGGGUUCGAAUUGAUUUUACGAAAAAAUUGAUAAGAUACAAGAAACGUCUCUGAAGAUAGACCACCUCUGUGUUCCUCGCAGCAUUUAAUCCAUUCAGCAAUGUUAAUUAAAAAAUGGAUUUGCUCUCUUUGAUUAUCAGAUUUGGGUUUUAUAGAA
rnacentral:lncRNA from 1 species